AUGGGUGGAGAUUUGAGAAGCCACCUCCUGCCUGCUAGGGCAGGGCCGUUUGAAGUUCUUUGGCACCUGUGGCUGGACAGGGGUAGGACAAAGAGAGAAGAGACAACUUGGAAAUUGCAGGUCACAAAUCUCCUCUCCCUCCACCUUGUGCCCCCUCCUCCAUCCUGUCCUCAGCCAAGAACAGCAGCAAUUGCUCAAGUUUACGAUGUGCUGCGUGCAGCUAAAUUCACUGCGUACAAGACGCUACACCCGAAGAGUCAUUUCGUCAUCCACUGCUGACAGGACUCCAGAGCCCAUGCCAGAAUCCUAGCAGCCCGGGGAAGGUGGGGGACCAGAGCAUUGUACUUAUGCAUGCUCAGGAAACUGCCCAGUAAUCAAGGCUGCAAAGUAACCUUGGACUGACCCCUGCCAGGACACUGGCAUUGUGAAGCAAGUUUUUAAUUAAUUAUCUAUCUCUCCCAUCAACCUUAUCCUCUUAUCUCUGAAUUUUUCCUACCAUGUCUUAACACUCUGGAUGAUGCUAUAUCACAGAUAUGGUUAUUUCCACUUUACAGGUACUGAAACUGAGGUUAGUGAUUUAGCCAAAAUUAUACGGAUAGUAGAAGUCUUAAUUAUGGUGGGACUUAAUUUCUUUGGCCUCUGAGUUCACGUUCCAUUCACAGUUGCUCAGCUAAUCCACCAUCCAGUCCAAAUAAAGAAUACAUUUGCCACCUGACUAGUUUUAACACCCGAAACUCAUUCCUGUUCUAGCACUCUAGAAGACCAAUACCAUAUCCGUAGAGUCCAGAGCAAAGAGAAGAGGUGACAAAUACUCACUUUACAUAGCCGAACCAGAAUAUUUGGGGGCGAAGGAGAAUUUUUACUAUCAAUAAUUAAUAUUAUAAUUGCCAACACAAAUAAAAUUAACUAGAUCAUGCCAGAUUUCUUCAUUGCCUGGAGGACAUUUAGCUGUAUCUGCACUCCUCAGUGAAAUUAUAGCAGGUCUCAGCCAGUCAUCUUGUCUGUAAAGAUGAAGCAAUCAUGUCUUGUCUGUGAUCUGUGCCUCAUUUUUAUUCAUCAGGUGUUUAUUGGGUGCCAGUGAUAUGCCAAGCCCUGUACUGGAGGUCAGGAUGACAUGGAUGACUGAGACAGUCCCAACCCUUGGGAAACGCCCAGUCUAGAGAAGCCGAAGAGUGCAGCUUCCAGAAAGAGGGUGCUGCGACACAUGGAAGAAGGCCAGAAAGUCGUGCAAGCCAGGGACAGACAGCCACAACUUCAACUAAUGCUCUGAGGCUACCACAGAGAACAAAGGAGAUUGCAAGAGAUUAGGUCUCUCCUUUUCUUUCUCAGGGUCUGGUGUAGCUGCCAUUCAAAUCUUCCUAUGACCACU
rnacentral:lncRNA from 1 species